rnacentral:rRNA from 1 species
GCACUACAACGGGUGGAGCUUGCGGUUUAAUUGGAUUCAACGCCGGAAAUCUUACCGGGGCCGACAGCGAUAUGAAGGCCAGGCUAAGGACCUUGCCCGAUUAGCUGAGAGGUGGUGCAUGGCCGUCGCCAGUUCGUACUGUGAAGCAUCCUGUUAAGUCAGGCAACGAGCGAGACCCGUGCCCACUGUUACCAGCAUGUCCUCCGGGACGAUGGGUACUCUGUGGGGACCGCCGGUGUUAAAUCGGAGGAAGGUGCGGGCCACGGUAGGUCAGUAUGCCCCGAAUCUCCCGGGCUACACGCGGGCUACAAUGGAUGGGACAAUGGGUCCCUACCCUGAAAGGGGUUGGUAAUCUCACAAACCCAUUCUUAGUUCGGAUCGAGGGCUGUAACUCGCCCUCGUGAAGCUGGAAUCCGUAGUAAUCGCGUUUCAAUAUAGCGCGGUGAAUACGUCCCUGCUCCUUGCACACACCGCCCGUCAAACCACCCGAGUGAGGUAUGGGUGAGGGCACAGACGUUGUGCUGUGUUCGAACCUGAAUUUUGCAAGGGGGGUU